rnacentral:lncRNA from 1 species
CUCCCAACCCUCCCACGUUCCGGGAGGAGAAGGUUUUAUUAGCUUAUUAGGAAAGAUUCAUGCAUUUUGCAUGGUUGAACUGAAUAAAAAAGGAACUUCGUGCACAUUUGAAUUCGGAGGCAAGAUGAGAAGAAGUGGCAUUUUUUUUAAGUGACUUGCCUUGGGGAGAGCUGUUAAAACUGACAAAUUGCGUGACGCACAUCAUAAUACAAACAAAUGAAAAGAGUUGGCCCCAGCGGUUUUUAGACUUGCUUAUUGGAUUUUUGGAAAUAUGACCUGGUGCAGAGGGAAGAUGAAGGCAGGCAGCCCUACUGAGGCCAGAAUACGGUGGGCGGGGGAGCGGGCAACUGGCCGUGAUGUCAGCCUGAGCAUGUGCUGAGGACCAAUGAGAUGCCCAAGAGGGCAUGGAAAGGCAUCUGCCCCAUGGGUGAGCCCAGUUCGCCUCUGCAUGGACAUGCUGUGUGGCCCAGGGGAAGCCUCUGACCCUCUCUGAGCCUCAGUUGCCUCAUCUGUAGAGCAGGGACAACGACAUUCAUCUCGAGUCCUCGCAGGAAACCCACUGGGAUAUAAUCUCUGCUGCUCCCCAUCCUGCCUCAUGCCCCAGGAAGCUGACCUGUAUACACUGCAUCAAGAAGCUCUCUUGACCUUUGGCUUCCAGUUGACUUGGCUAAUGAACUUGCCAGACACCUGAACCUUCAACAGCCACCACCCUGACCAGUCAGCAGUCCUCACCACCCACCAGCAAGAGGAUCCCGACUUGCUGAAGGCUCAGA